AGCUGAUACUAGUAAACAAGUGUCACUAGAGGACGGCAGGGAAACACCGCUAGUAGUUAAUUACCCCUACACAGCAUUACAAGUGAGAACAUCUCUUCGACAAAUUGAGGCAAAUGAACAGUAAUUCUGUCGAGGAGAAGUUACAUAAGUUACACUGAAAAAAAAAUAUAAAAAUUAAGGGACUAGCAACAAGAAUCACCAGUACUUUUAGACAGCAAUGGAAGGAACAGCAGCAAUGAGUAACAGCCAUGAGCAGACCGAGAAUGACACUGGUACCAGGAACUUGUCAGGGGACUCUUCUGCCACCACACCUCAUUCCACUUGGCCACCAACCCCUACCAGCACCACCAAUAUCACCACCUCCCUCACUGAAGAGACGAUGUUGUCUCCGAACGAAGAAAAUUUUGACACUUACUUUGCUCAUGAGAGAAUUCAGAUCCCUGAGUCAGAAAAUAAGCUGUUCAGUUUUCGAAAAUUUUGGGCAUUUACAGGCCCUGGCUUUCUCAUGAGUAUUGCCUACCUAGACCCCGGAAAUAUAGAGUCUGAUCUUCAGUCUGGAGCGGCAGCAAACUACCAGCUUCUGUGGGUGCUGAUGUGGGCAACUAUCCUUGGACUCGUCAUGCAACGUCUUUCAGCACGCUUGGGGACAGUGACGGGUCUUCACUUGUCAGAAGUUUGUUACCGACAUUAUCCACGCAUUCCACGCAUUCUGCUCUGGAUCAUGGUCGAGAUUGCCAUUAUUGGGUCUGACAUGCAAGAAGUUAUAGGGACAUCCAUUGCAAUUUACAUACUUUCAAAUGGAGUAAUUCCUAUACCAGGCGGAGUAGUAAUUACCAUUGCUGAUACCUUCACGUUUCUUGCUCUGGACCGCUAUGGUCUUCGUAAGCUUGAGGCUUUCUUUGGCUUUCUCAUCAUGGUAAUGGCUGGAACAUUUGGCUAUCAGUAUGGUGUUUCAAAGCCUGAUCAGGUGGCAGUACUGAAAGGAUUAUUUGUUCCGGGCUGUUACAACUGUGACCAGCGAGCACUCGCUCAAGCAGUUGGCAUUGUAGGAGCUGUCAUAAUGCCUCAUAAUCUCUAUUUACACUCGGCUCUUGUGAAGUCACGGGAUGUUGACCGCAAGAAGAAAGAAGAUGUAAAAGAAGCAAACAAGUAUUUCUUCUUAGAAGCUUGUUUGGCUCUGCUGUGUUCCUUCGUCAUUAAUGUGUUCGUGGUGGCUGUGUUUGCUAAAGGACUUUAUGGUGUCACAAACCAAGAAGUGUAUGAUCGUUGUGAAGCUGUCAACAACACCCACGCCAAUGCCUUCGAACAAAAUGAUGAGCUAGUUGAUGCAGACAUCUUCAAAGCCGGGGUGUUCCUCGGGUGUACUUAUGGUGUUGUGUGUAUGUACAUCUGGGCUAUAGGAAUUCUUGCUGCUGGUCAGAGCUCAACAAUGACUGGAACAUAUGUUGGACAAUUUGCAAUGGAGGGCUUCCUGAACCUUCGGUGGAAGCGCUGGCAGCGAGUGCUUCUGACACGUACCAUUGCUAUUAUUCCAACAUUCUUUAUUGCAUUCUACAAGGACAUCAAUGAUCUCACCAAGAUGAAUGAUUUACUGAAUGUUGUCAUGUCGCUGCAACUACCCUUCGCUCUCAUACCAGCUGUGACGUUCACAUCAUCACAGCACAUCAUGGGCGACUUCAAGAAUGGAGUAUUUACAAAGGUUCUGUCAUCCCUUUUGUCAUUGGUGGUGAUCGCCAUCAACUUGUGGUUCGUGAUCAACUUCCUCGACGCUAAUAUUGACCCAAACAGCUGGUGGGUGUACAUUCUGGUGGCUCUCGUCGGGAUAUUCUACUUCACCCUCAUCACAUACUUGACAUUGUUCCUGGUGGUUGCCUUUGGAUUUAACCUCUGCUGUCACUUACCUCUUUCUGGACUUAUGGGCAUGGAUGGUACUAGUCCUACCUUACAACACAGCUUCGAAGGUUCAUAUCCCAGCAUCUGAAUCAAGCAGCCUAUCAACUGGAUGUGCCUUCUGAGGCAAUGGACGAUAUAUACAGGAAUGUCAAAUGGACCAACCCUCUUUAUGACUCUGGACUGGAUACUGAUGAUGAAUCUGUGGAUGUUGUGUGGGAAAACCCUCUCUACUCAGAC
rnacentral:misc_RNA from 1 species